UACGAAGGGGGCUAGCGUUGUUCGGAUUUACUGGGCGUAAAGCGCACGUAGGCGGAUCGUUAAGUCGGGGGUGAAAUCCUGGAGCUCAACUCCAGAACUGCCUUCGAUACUGGCGAUCUUGAGUCCGGAAGAGGUGAGUGGAACUCCUAGUGUAGAGGUGGAAUUCGUAGAUAUUAGGAAGAACACCAGUGGCGAAGGCGGCUCACUGGACCGGUUCUGACGCUGAGGCGCGAAAGCGUGGGGAGCAAACGGG
rnacentral:rRNA from 1 species